rnacentral:rRNA from 1 species
AACAGGCUAAUCUCCCCCGAGAGCCCACAUCGACGGGGAGGUUUGGUACCUCGAUGUCGGCUCCCCCCAUCCUGGGGCUGAAGCAGGUCCCAAGGGUUGGGCUGUUCGCCCAUUAAAGGGGGACGCGAGCUGGGUUCAGAACGUCGCGAGACAGUUCGGUCCCUAUCCGCCGCGGGCGCAGGAGUCUUGAGGGGGUCCGUCCCUAGUACGAGAGGACCGGGACGGGGCAGGCUCUGGUGUACCGGUUAUCUCUCCAGGGGUAGCGCCGGGUAGCCAUCCUGCUACGGGAUAAGCGCUGAAAGCAUCUAAGCGCGAAGCCCACCCCAAGAUAAGGACUCCCUGAAGGGCCGUGGGAGACUACCACGUUGAUAGGCCGCAGGUGGAAGCUCCGUAAGGGGUGUAGCCGAGCGGUACUAAUAGCCCGUUCGACUUGCACAC